UACGGAGGGUGCAAACGUUGCUCGGAAUUAUUGGGCGUAAAGCGCGUGUAGGCGGCUUAGCAAGUCGGGCGUGAAAGCCCUCGGCUCAACCGAGGAAGUGCACCCGAAACUGCUGAGCUUGAGUGCCGGAGAGGAUGGCGGAAUUCCCCAAGUAGAGGUGAAAUUCGUAGAUAUGGGGAGGAACACCGGUGGCGAAGGCGGCCAUCUGGACGGUAACUGACGCUGAGACGCGAAAGCGUGGGGAGCAAACAGG
rnacentral:rRNA from 1 species